rnacentral:rRNA from 1 species
GAUGAACGCUGGCGGCGUGCCUAAUACAUGCAAGUCGAGCGAACGGACGAGAAGCUUGCUUCUCUGAUGUUAGCGGCGGACGGGUGAGUAACACGUGGAUAACCUACCUAUAAGACUGGGAUAACUUCGGGAAACCGGAGCUAAUACCGGAUAAUAUUUUGAACCGCAUGGUUCAAAAGUGAAAGACGGUCUUGCUGUCACUUAUAGAUGGAUCCGCGCUGCAUUAGCUAGUUGGUAAGGUAACGGCUUACCAAGGCAACGAUGCAUAGCCGACCUGAGAGGGUGAUCGGCCACACUGGAACUGAGACACGGUCCAGACUCCUACGAGAGGCAGCAGUAGGGAAUCUUCCGCAAUGGGCGAAGGCCUGACGGAGCAACGCCGCGUGAGUGAUGAAGAUCUUCGGAUCGUAAAACUCUGUUAUUAGGGAAGAACAUAUGUGUAAGUAACUGUGCACAUCUUGACGGUACCUAAUCAGAAAGCCACGGCUAACUACGUG